GACAGAGGCCUCGAGCGUUUAGGCGGAAUCACUGGGCUUAAAGCGUGUGUAGGCGGGCCCGUAAGUGUCUUGUGAAAUCCCACGGCUCAACCGUGGAACUGCUGGGCAUACUGCGGGUCUUGGGCCAACUAGGGGCAGCCGGAACAAGCGGUGGAGCGGUGAAAUGCGUAGAUAUCGUUUGGAACGCCGAUGGUGAAAACAGGUCGCUGGGGGGCUUGCUGACGCUGAGACACGAAAGCCAGGGGAGCAAACGGG
rnacentral:rRNA from 1 species